GCCUGCGCGGUGGAGCCGCCGCAGUGCCCCUUCUCCCCGAGGAGAUGGAGGCGGCGGCGCGGCGGGGGCCGCGGGUGCAGGAACGGCAGGAGCAGGACGAUGGUGGGCCGGUGCUCUCACGAUCCCUGUCGGGACAGUCCUACUGGCUGGACCUGUGGCUCUUCAUCCUCUUCGACCUGGCGCUUUUUCUGCUUAUUUACCUGCUGCCCUGAGGGCGCGGCCCAGGGCCAUUGCCACCAAGGGAAUUCUCACCUAUUUCGCACCUUACGAACACAGGCGGUGGAAGAGGAGAACCAUUAGUGCGGGAUAAGCAGCUGGGAACAUGACCCCGCUUGAGUCUCGGUGGAGGAGGCACGUUUUUAUACUGUAUCGUGAUGGAUCACUGUGAUAGAGAUCGUGGUGGAUCACGAGUGUUACUCUUCAGGUUUUACUUGUAUCCUGUUCGUGUGUCCUAAACUGUGCCUUAAAGGUCACGUACGACUGACUGUGCUUCUGUGAUUAGUACCUAAAGGUUCGUUUUGCAGAAAUGGAAGUACGCAGUGUUUGAAUAAAAUCCACUGAAUGAACACCCUGCAGACUGGCUGAGAAUAAAACCCAGCUCUUGUGUACACUGAAGUUCUAACUCAGACCUAACCGAUGAAGCUUAGCCAGGUGUUCUACUUCCAAAAAAGUUAAUCCUGAUGGGUAUGCUGGUUGAUUUUCUGUUAUACUGUCCUCUGUUUUUUCUUUCUUUACCUUCAGCAGUUACUGAGUCCUCUCAGGCUCAAUAUUUAUAUAUGUAUAUAAACAUGUCAGUAUUUAACCCA